GAUAAGUAGAUAUCUUAUGUUCUCCUGCAUAUACCAUGGGACACAGUUGUGGGGAGGUUUGUCUGCUAUUUUACUCCACUGUAAUAUAGGUACAGAAACAAAAGAAGAGUCAGGAGGAUCAGAAUAACAAAUUUUGUGUGGAAAUAGACUAAGUGUAACUUUGGGCCUUGAAUUUCUCCAAAACGUGUAAAGAAAUGACUGCACUCCCCUCAUCUGAUUUAAAAAUACAUUCAAGUUCAGAGACAGCAAUGAGGCAUGCAAAGGAAGAAAACUUACCCAUUCUGUACAACCUGCCGUUAUCCUAACUGGGUGGACAUCUUACAUGUGUUCAUUUGGGUCACAGGCACUGAAGCCUGCCUAUGUGAAUAUCAUUCUUCAGCAUGGCUGUUCAUCGUUCCAACAGUUCUGUUCUCUGGAUUCUUUCCUAAUUUAGCUUUACUAGCACUCUGCUCAUAACCUACUUUUUGUAGCUUGUCUUGCAUUUUAACCUUGAUGUUCUAUAAUUUGGACUAAGCUCUUAUAUUUUUUAUUCAGCCUGUAAAGUAUCAUUCUAAC